rnacentral:rRNA from 1 species
UACUCCUACGGGAGGCAGCAGUAGGGAAUCUUCGGCAAUGGGGGCAACCCUGACCGAGCAACGCCGCGUGAGUGAAGAAGGUUUUCGGAUCGUAAAGCUCUGUUGUUAGAGAAGAAUGAUGGUGGGAGUGGAAAAUCCACCAAGUGACGGUAACUAACCAGAAAGGGACGGCUAACUACGUGCCAGCAGCGGCGGUAAU